AAAGGCUUAAUUCCUUAGUGUCUGACACUUUCUCCAGAGUGUGGUCAGCCUCUUUCUCCAACUGCUCAUGUGUCUGACUCUUUGUAAGAAAUUCCUUUUCACGUGUAGGUAAUACCAUGUUCUCCAUGCUAGAAAUGAUCUCAUUUUCAUGUAGUUCUCCUUGUUCCUUGGAUUUUAAGAUGACAUCAUCAAGAAUGUUUUCAACCUCUGCUUGCUUACUUAUUAUUUCAAAAAUCGAAGAAUCACAAUCCACUUCUACACCAGCCAUCUGCUUAUUGUCUAUUUGCACGAUUGCUUCUGGCUUGACAUCUGAAAGGCUUAAUUCAUUAGUGUCUGACAUUUUCUCCAGAGUGUGGUCAGCGUCUUUCUCCAACUGCUCGUGUGUCUGACUCUUCGUAAGAAAUUCCUUUUCAUGUGUAGGUAAUACCAUGUUCUCCAUGCUUGAAAUGAUCUCAUUUUCAUGUAGUUCUCCUUGCUCCUUAGAUUUUAAGAUGACAUCAUCAAGAAAAGGUAAUACCAUGUUCUCCAUGCUUGAAAUGAUCUCAUUUUCAUGUAGUUCUCCUUGCUCCUUAGAUUUUAAGAUGACAUCAUCAAGAAUGUUUUCAACCUCUGCUUGCUUAC
rnacentral:lncRNA from 1 species